UGGGGAAUAUUGCACAAUGGGCGCAAGCCUGAUGCAGCCAUGCCGCGUGUAUGAAGAAGGCCUUCGGGUUGUAAAGUACUUUCAGCGGGGAGGAAGGCGGUGAGGUUAAUAACCUCAUCGAUUGACGUUACCCGCAGAAGAAGCACCGGCUAACUCCGUGCCAACAGCCGCGGUAAUACGGAGGGUGCAAGCGUUAAUCGGAAUUACUGGGCGUAAAGCGCACGCACGCGGUCUGUCAAGUCGGAUGUGAAAUCCCCGGGCUCAACCUGGGAACUGCAUUCGAAACUGGCAGGCUAGAGUCUUGUAGAGGGGGGUAGAAUUCCAGGUGUAGCGGUGAAAUGCGUAGAGAUCUGGAGGAAUACCGGUGGCGAAGGCGGCCCCCUGGACAAAGACUGACGCUCAGGUGCGAAAGCGUGGGGAGCAAACAGG
rnacentral:rRNA from 1 species